rnacentral:tRNA from 1 species
AUGCAGCUCAGUGGUAGAGUGCUUGCCUAGCAUGCAUGAGGCUCUGGGUUUGAUCCCCAGCAU